AGCCGUUCCCUGGGAUCUCGUCUCUGUUUUCCAGCAGAAUUUGGGGUCGGAGCAGCCACUUUGCUCCUAAAGCCCUUGGGAGCCUUUGGUGGGUGAGCUCAGGGAUCCUGAGGAGGGGAAUCCAGGAAAAGGGGGGAUGGAGGGAUGAUGGAUGGAUGAUGGAUGGAUGAUGGAUGGAUGGAUGGAUGGAUGGAUGGAUGAUGGAUGGAUGAUGGAUGAUGGAUGGAUGGAUGAUGGAUGGAUGAGGGAUGGAUGGAUGGAUGAUGGAUGGAUGGAUGAGGGAUGGAUGGAUGGAUGGAUGAUGGAUGGAUGAGGGAUGGAUGAUGGAUGGAUGGAUGAUGGAUGGAUGGAUGAUGGCUAGAUGGAUGGAUCCAUGGAGAGAUGGAUGGAUCCAUGGCUGGAAGGAAGGAUGGAUCCAUAGAUGAAUCCAUGGAUGGACCUUCGUCCAUCACAUUUCAGAUGAAAUGAGAUCUAAAAACCAGCAGAAAUUGUGACACAGCCCUCGCAGGGUGGGGACGUUAUUCCCAUUCCCACCUUGCCGGGAUGGAAAGAAGGAUGGAUCCGUGGAGAGAUGGACAGAUCCAUGGAUGGACUGGGAGAAUGAAGGGUGUCUCCAUGGAGAGAUGGACAGAUCCAUGGAUGGAUGAAGGAAUGGAUGAAUCCAUGGAUGGAGGAUGGAUGAAUCCAUGGAUGGAUCAACUGAUCAAUUGAUCCAUGGAGAGAUGGAUGAAGGAACGAAUGGAUGAAUCCAUGAAUGGAUGGAUGGAUGGAUGGAUCCAUGGAGAGUUGGACAGAUCCAUGGAUGGAUGAAGGAAUGGAUGAAUCCAUGGAUGGAGGAUGGAUGAAUCCAUGGAUGGAUCAACUGAUCAAUCGAUCCAUGGAGAGAUGGAUGAAGGAACAAAUGGAUGAAUCCAUGGAUGGAUGGAUGGAUGGAUCCAUGGAGAGGUGGACAGACUCAUGGAUGGAUGGAUGGACAGAUCCAUGGAUGGAUGAAGGAAUGGAUGAACCAUGGAGGAGGAAUCCAUGGAUGGAUGAACCAUGGAGGAGGAAUCCAUGGAUGGAUGGAGCCGAGUGAUGCUGGAACAUUCCCCUGUAAAAGGUCCCAGAAGAAAAACCCAGCAGGUU
rnacentral:lncRNA from 1 species